CCUACGGGGGGCAGCAGUGGGGAAUAUUGGGCAAUGGGCGCAAGCCUGACCCAGCAACGCCGCGUGAAGGAAGAAGGCUCUCGGGUUGUAAACUUCUUUUAUCAGGGACGAAGCAAGUGACGGUACCUGAUGAAUAAGCCACGGCUAACUACGUGCCAGCAGCCGCGGUAAUACGUAGGUGGCAAGCGUUAUCCGGAUUUACUGGGUGUAAAGGGCGUGUAGGCGGGAAAGCAAGUCAGAUGUGAAAACAAUUGGCUCAACCUAUGGCCUGCAUUUGAAACUGUUUUUCUUGAGUACUGGAGAGGCAGACGGAAUUCCUAGUGUAGCGGUGAAAUGCGUAGAUAUUAGGAGGAACACCAGUGGCGAAGGCGGUCUGCUGGACAGCAACUGACGCUGAGGCGCGAAAGCGUGGGGAGCAAACAGGAUUAGAUACCCCAGUAGUC
rnacentral:rRNA from 1 species